AUCUCUCCGUACGGGGAAGGAUGAGAAGCUUCGACUAAGGUUCGAUUCGAGCGAAAGCGAGAGAACGUUGCCAACGGCAACGGCCCGAAGGGCGAAGCGCGCAGCGCUGAGUCAUCCUUCCCCCACCACCA
rnacentral:sRNA from 1 species